UGAUAAAGGAAAUGGCCGAGGAGCCACAAGACCCUCCAGAAGAAAGAAAAGAAGACGGACAGGAUGAUGCUCCAGCACAGGCAGCACCUGAUAUGACAGAUGAUUCAGAGGGCCAUUGGGAAAGUGCAGUAGAGGAAGUAAAGGAAGAGGAUUCGGUCUACCACGACUGCCAAAAGGACAUGUCUCCUAAUCAUUAAAAGCCAGCCUCCAUUCAAAA